GGUUUUCAGAUUCGAGCUGAGUAAGCUUCUCAGCACUUUGCUCCAGCUGCUUCGAAUGUUCAUCUAGCUUUUCCUUCAGGCGUUGAACUUCGGAGGAAAGCUCAAGGUUCUCGGUAGCUUCUCGAGCCUUGUGCAAGUUGGUUACUUGGCUUUGUAAUCCGUCGAGUUGCCUUUGUAGCUCGGCUUCUCUUGGAGUAGAUUCUUACGGGUUAUCUUGCUCAUCCACCGCCAUCGUCACGUAGUUUAGAUUACUCCCCACCUUCUAGCGCCAAACUGUUAGGGGAUUUUUGUGUAGGAUCUUUUAGAGUACUACGGAACGAUGGAUAAGCUGGGUUUCGUAUAGAUUUUAGAGUAGUAAAAGAGAUUAUGACUUGAAUAAGCGUUUAUUUGAUCAAACUAGAAGAGAUUACAAAGUAUUGAGUUAGAAACCCUAGUCUAGCCGUCUAAUUCUAGCCUUCAAGUCUAAAAU
rnacentral:lncRNA from 1 species